UGGUGGAUUGGGUUUGGGAAAGGUUCAAAGAAGGAAGAGCACUUGAAGUAGUGGAUCCUAAAUUGAAUGGUAAUUUUGAUGAAAGUGAAGUAAUGAUGGUGUUGAAAUUGGGAUUGAUAUGUUCAAAUGAUGUUCCUACUAUAAGGCCUAGCAUGAGACAAGUAGUGAGGAUUUUGGAUGGAGAAGUUGAGUUGCCAAAUGAAAUGAUGAAAGUGAAGUAAUGAUGGUGUUGAAAUUGGGAUUGAUAUGUUCAAAUGAUGUUCCUACUAUAAGGCCUAGCAUGAGACAAGUAGUGAGGAUUUUGGAUGGAGAAGUUGAGUUGCCAAAUGAAAUGAGAAAGCCAGGAGGUAUUGAUUCACAAGAGGGGUUUGAUGAAUUCUUGCAUUCUCUUGGAACUACUUCAUUUGAUAAGAC
rnacentral:lncRNA from 1 species